GACGGGGGGGGCAAGUGUUCUUCGGAAUGACUGGGCGUAAAGGGUGCGUAGGCGGGUCUUUAAGUCAGGGGUGAAAUCCUGGAGCUCAACUCCAGAACUGCCUUUGAUACUGAAGAUCUUGAGUUCGGGAGAGGUGAGUGGAACUGCGAGUGUAGAGGUGAAAUUCGUAGAUAUUCGCAAGAACACCAGUGGCGAAGGCGGCUCACUGGCCCGAUACUGACGCUGAGGCACGAAAGCGUGGGGAGCAAACAGGG
rnacentral:rRNA from 1 species